GAUGAACGCUGGCGGCGUGCCUAACACAUGCAAGUCGAACGAAGCACAUUGGAUUGAUUCUUCGGAAGAAAGAGAAUGUGACUGAGUGGCGGACGGGUGAGUAACGCGUGGGUAACCUGCCUCAUACAGGGGGAUAACAGUUAGAAAUGACUGCUAAUACCGCAUAAGACCACGGAGUCGCAUGACUCAGUGGGAAAAACUCCGGUGGUAUGAGAUGGACCCGCGUCUGAUUAGGUAGUUGGUGGGGUAACGGCCUACCAAGCCGACGAUCAGUAGCCGACCUGAGAGGGUGACCGGCCACAUUGGGACUGAGACACGGCCCAAACUCCUACGGGAGGCAGCAGUGGGGAAUAUUGCACAAUGGGGGAAACCCUGAUGCAGCGACGCCGCGUGGAGGAAGAAGGUCUUCGGGAUUGGUAAACUCCGUGUUGUUGAGGAAGNUAAUGACGGUACUCAACAAGGAAGUGAACGGCU
rnacentral:rRNA from 1 species